rnacentral:rRNA from 1 species
UACGUAGGGGGCAAGCGUUGUCCGGAAUCAUUGGGCGUAAAGAGCGUGUAGGCGGCUUGGUAAGUCCGCUGUGAAAGUCCAGGGCUCAACCCUGGAAAGCCGGUGGAAACUGUCAAGCUUGAGUCCGGAAGAGGCGAGUGGAAUUCCUGGUGUAGCGGUGAAAUGCGCAGAUAUCAGGAGGAACACCGAUGGCGAAGGCAGGUCUCUGGGCAUUAACUGACGCUGAGGAGCGAAAGCAUGGGGAGCGAACAGG